GACGAACGCUGGCGGCGUGCUUCAUACAUGCAAGUCGAACGAGAAGCUAGAGCUUGCUCUAGUGGAAAGUGGCGGACGGGUGAGUAAUAUGUAGGAAAUCUGCCCUAGAGAGGGGGACAACAGAAGGAAACUUCUGCUAAUACCCCAUAUGAGCUUGGUUGAAAUACCAAUCUUGAAAACUCCGGUGCUCUAGGAUGAGCCUGCACCUGAUUAGCUGUUGGUGGUGUAAUGGACUACCAAGGCGACGAUCAGUAGCUGGUUUGACGAGGAUGAUCAGCCACAAUGGGAACUGAGACACGGCCCAUACUCCUACGGAGG
rnacentral:rRNA from 1 species